rnacentral:rRNA from 1 species
AACGAACGUUUGCGGCGGGCCUAACACAUGCAAGUCGAACGCACUAGCAAUAGUGAGUGGCGCACGGGUGCGUAACACGUGGGUAAUCAACCCUUCAGCCUGGGAUAACGACUCGAAAGGGUCGCUAAUACCGGAUACGGCGCGAGAGGCUUCGGCUUCUCACGAGAAAGCCACGCAAGGGGCACUGAAGGACGAGCCUGCGGCCCAUCAGCUAGUUGGUGAGGUAAGAGCUCACCAAGGCUAAGACGGGUAGCUGGUCUGAGAGGAUGAUCAGCCACACUGGAACUGAGACACGGUCCAGACUCCUACGGAGGCAGCAGUGGGGAAUAUUGCGCAAUGGGCGAAAGCCUGACGCAGCCACGCCGCGUGAGCGAUGAAGGCC